CAAUAAACCUUAUUGUAGCGGCUAUCCUUUUUGCUGCAGAGCUUAUCAUCACACAAUUACGUUCACAAAAAGAUAGAAGCGAAAAGAAGGACUGCCG
rnacentral:sRNA from 1 species